rnacentral:rRNA from 1 species
UACGGAGGGUGCAAGCGUUAUCCGGAUUCACUGGGUUUAAAGGGUGCGUAGGUGGGCAGGUAAGUCAGUGGUGAAAUCUCUGGGCUUAACCCGGAACUGCCGUUGAUACUAUCUGUCUUGAAUAUAGUGGAGGUGAGCGGAAUAUGUCAUGUAGCGGUGAAAUGCUUAGAUAUGACAUAGAACACCAAUUGCGAAGGCAGCUCGCUACACGAAUAUUGACUCUGAGGCACGAAAGCGUGGGGAUCAAACAGG